UACGUAGGGGGGCAAGCGUUGUCCGGAUUUAUUGGGCGUAAAGAGCGUGUAGGCGGCCAGACAGGUCCACUGUGAAAACUCGAGGCUCAACCUCGAGAGGUCGGUGGAAACCGUCUGGCUAGAGUCCGGAAGAGGAGAGUGGAAUUCCCGGUGUAGCGGUGAAAUGCGCAGAUAUCGGGAAGAACACCCGUGGCGAAGGCGGCUCUCUGGGACGGUACUGACACUGAGACGCGAAAGCGUGGGGAGCGAACAGG
rnacentral:rRNA from 1 species